rnacentral:rRNA from 1 species
GGUGAGUUGGCUACCAGGCGACGACGGGUAGCCGGCCUGAGAGGGCGACCGGCCACACUGGGACUGAGACACGGCCCAGACUCCUACGGGAGGCAGCAGUGGGGAAUAUUGCACAAUGGGCGCAAGCCUGAUGCAGCGACGCCGCGUGAGGGAUGACGGCCUUCGGGUUGUAAACCUCUUUUAGCAGGGAAGAAGCGAGAGUGACGGUACCUGCAGAAAAAGCACCGGCUAACUACGUGCCAGAGCCCGCGGCC